rnacentral:rRNA from 1 species
AAAGCGUGCGUAGGUGGUCGUUUAAGUCCGUUGUGAAAGCCCUGGGCUCAACCUGGGAACUGCAGUGGAUACUGGGCGACUAGAGUGUGGUAGAGGGUAGCGGAAUUCCUGGUGUAGCAGUGAAAUGCGUAGAGAUCAGGAGGAACAUCCAUGGCGAAGGCAGCUACCUGGACCAACACUGACACUGAGGCACGAAAGCGUGGGGAGCAAACAGGAUUAGAUACCCUGGUAGUCCACGCCCUAAACGAUGCGAACUGGAUGUUGGGUGCAAUUUGGCACGCAGUAUCGAAGCUAACGCGUUAAGUUCGCCGCCUGGGGAGUACGGUCGCAAGACUGAAACUCAAAGGAAUUGACGGGGGCCCGCACA